rnacentral:rRNA from 1 species
UACGUAGGGUCCGAGCGUUGUCCGGAAUUACUGGGCGUAAAGAGCUCGUAGGUGGUUUGUCGCGUUGUUCGUGAAAACUCACAGCUUAACUGUGGGCGUGCGGGCGAUACGGGCAGACUUGAGUACUGCAGGGGAGACUGGAAUUCCUGGUGUAGCGGUGGAAUGCGCAGAUAUCAGGAGGAACACCGGUGGCGAAGGCGGCUUACUGGUCCGGUUCUGACGCUGAGGCACGAA